rnacentral:tRNA from 1 species
GCCGGUGUAGCUCAAUGUUAGAGCGGCGGUCUCGUUUUCCGCAGAUUCUAGGUUCAAAUCCUUCCUCCGGCU